GGUUCUAUGGUGUAGUGGUUAGCACUCUGGACUUUGAAUCCAGCGACCUUGGUUUGAAUCCCGGUUGGGACCU
rfam:Picea glauca, whole genome shotgun sequence.